GUAGGUGACCUGCGGAAGGAUCAUUACUGAGAUUAGGGUCUUUUGGGGCCCGAACCUCCUAACCUUUGUGUAUAUACCUCUGUUGCUUCGGCGGAUAUCCCGGGUCGUGGUACUGGCUCGCCGCGUACCACCUUCCGGGCCCGCCAGAGGCCCUCUCCAUUCUGAAGUAUUAGUGUAGUCUGAGUAACCAAUUCAAUUAAAUCAAAACUUUCAACAACGGAUCUCUUGGUUCUGGCAUCGAUGAAGAACGCAGCGAAAUGCGAUAAGUAAUGUGAAUUGCAGAAUUCAGUGAAUCAUCGAAUCUUUGAACGCACAUUGCGCCCCCUGGUAUUCCGGGGGGCAUGCCUGUUCGAGCGUCAUUACACCUCUCAAGCUCAGCUUGGUAUUGGGCCUCCGUCCUCCGCGGACGGGCCUGAAAUUCAGUGGCAGUGCAGCCGGUGCUCAAGCGUAGUAAUUUUUAUCCCGCUUUGGAGUCGCCGGGUGGACCCGCCAGACAACCCCCAAAUUAUUUACACUGGUUGACCUCGGAUCAGGUAGGGAUACCCGCUGAACUUAAGCAUAUCAAUAAGCGGAGGAAAAGAAACCAACGGGGAUUGCCUCAGUAACGGCGAGUGAAGCGGCAACAGCUCAAAUUUGAAAUCUGGCCUCCGGGCCCGAGUUGUAAUUUGUAGAGGGAGUUUCGGAGGCGGCGCCGGCUUAAGUUCCUUGGAACAGGGCGUCAUAGAGGGUGAGAAUCCCG
rnacentral:rRNA from 1 species